GUUUUGGCAACACAUUCCAUCGUUUGCAAAAGACGCUCAAUCUUGUCUGGGGAACAAGAAUGUCGGGUAAUGAGUAGUGACUAUAAAAGCAAAUAUAAGUCUACUGCCCGUACAUUACAUUACAAUCCUUGUUCCAACCAGCAAAUUGAGUUGUCUUAUUUAUUUCAUUAAAAAGGUAAGUUAUAUAAUGUUAAUUUAAGUAAUUUAAUAAAAUAAAUUAAUUGCAAAUUAAAAGGAAAUAAUUCAAUAAAUAUAAUAAGUUUAAUUCGAGCAAUAUUUGAAAUAGAAAUAUAUUUGUUAUUGUCAAUUGAUAAUGUUAUCUGUUAUUAAUCUGUAUGAUUUAUGCACUGUAAUAUUUUACGAUCAAAAAGAAAAGAAACAUUACAUUACAUUACAAUCCUUGUUCCAACCAGCAAAUUGAGUUGUCUUAUUUAUUUCAUUAAAAAGGGUAAGAAGGCGCGAGUCCCACCCUCGCUGCCAAGCCAGUCCACAACAACGACAUGUAGUCCCCAGAUGUCCAGACAUCAUUCUACCUACAAGAACCGUAGAAGAACUGAGCAAACGAAAGGAAGCAAAUCAACACCAUGUUUUCAAUUUAGAAACCACCGAAGACAACCAUAAUACCAUCUUAACAAGUGACAUCCCAAGUCUAUCAUUACACAAAAAAAACAUAAAAUCCCGUCCACAACAAUAUGGUAGAGGACCCGAACCUUCUUUAUGACAACAAAGGAAAUGAUUCAAACGACCUUACCAGGUGGAGACAGAAAUUUAUCAACUAUGAGGAGACAAACAGUACCCUAAGCCAAUUCUUAAAAAUCUACCUAUGUGAUGUUAGGAACGAUACCAUACAGGUCAAUCGCCACUUGAAAAAUAGCUACUACAGAACCUCAAUUCAGUGAGCCCGAAUCUCAAAACAAUCCAUGACGAUUCAUACAAUUCUUACGGAAACAGAUACAAUUAGUUACUUAUGCACAAUUGUGUGACAACCCGAAGGAUCAAACUAGAACAGACUUUCAAACCACACACGAACAAUAUUAAUGUUUUCUAACAAUAGUUCCAAUAUUAUCUAUGGACAGUAAUUUAUAUUUCCAACGCGUAUUAUGUGGUAUUCACAUUGUAUGGUAAGACUGUUGCUUUUACUAUAUUUCCUCCUCUCUACUAAAACCAUAGUUUAAAAAUAUUUUUUUUAAUUUUAAAAAUGAAUUAAUAAAUAAAUUAUUUGUAUACAAAAAAAAGAUCAAAUUUUAAUACUUAUAAAUGAAACAAAAUGUAACAUGUCAUGCAUUUCGCAUAUAAAUGUAUUAUAUAACAAUUUUAACUAAAUUCGAGUAACUGACCACUUGAUUGCUCUCAUGAUUUAUAUCUGACAUAAAACAACAUAACAUUAUAUUCUUAAAAAUCGAUUGCUUAGUCUUUACCAAAAUAAAAAUCUGAAGGAACAGAUAUUUUUAGUAUUCGCAAAGUAUGAAGUCAUAGGUAAAAAUAAACAUGAACAUGAACAAUUACUUAAGGAGAUAUGGUUCAAAUAAAAGGUAUCUUGAACGAGGUCCUUUUUAAACAUCAAAAUGAGUGCAAUUGAUCGUAAUAUUAGGUUUCAAAUAUUUGGUUCCCCAUUAUAAACAAUGAGGGAAGAUAUUUCUUAUCGAGGGAAAAUGUCGACGAGACAAAAUCCCAACUAAAGAGCAAAAAUAAGAGCCCCAGGCCACUUGCUCAAAGGUACUAGUCUACUCGGGUAGGCAAAAUAAAUGAUUAAAUCACUCUAAAAAUGAUGCUUACAUGAUUGCAGCAUAUCCUUUUCGUUUUUGUUGUAGUUGUUCAAUAUAAAAGACUAUUAUUAAAAACUAAGUCGACAAGGAUAAUAUAUAUAAAUAUAUUAAAGAUAAGAUACAUUCAUAAUAAAAAAUAGAGAGUAAAUGAAACUAUAUAAAUUUAUAACAGAGAUCAUUAUAAUAGUAAAUAAUUUGUCAGACAAUUAAACAUGCGUUGGUAAAGUAAAGUAAGAUUGUCAGAGAUAAAAACAUAUGUUUUGAUAGUUAAUCAUCACUAUGUAUAUUUUUUUGGCACGCGAGAGCAAUCAAGAUAAGAUUUUUUCUAAACUGGCAGUUUGCCUUCAGAAACAGGUUGAGAUUUCUGAACAAUCUGUCAUAUAGACAUAUAAUUAGUUUAACUUUCAUAACAAAUCAGAAUAAUAAUAACCUACAUAUAAUUGAUAAAGAUUAUAUACUGUAUACAAUUCUAACACACAUAAAGGAGGGUAGAAAAAUUAAAGAAUUAAAAAUAAUAAAAAUAAAAACAAAAUCAAUGAAGUAAAAGAAAGAAAAAAAAGAAAAAAAAUAUAAAAAUAUAUAAAAUGGUGGAAUUCAUACAAUCAAGUCCGAUCUUCCUCUAUAUAUAUACAUAAGAAAGUAUUAAAACAUGUUCAAUAUAAACGUUAUAACAACCACGUUGAGUUAAAUUCUCUAUAGUUUAAAUGACAAAGAAAGAGAGAGAGAAUAUGUUAUUUCAUUCACUUGCAUAUGGAGUACAUAACUUGAAGACACAGAUCUCCAUAUGACUUAUUUUCGCGUGUUGGAGUACAUCCAAAGACAGAUCUCCAAUAUUUCGCAGGUGGACUUUUGUUCCACAGAAGAGGAUCGGCAUAAUAAUAUUAUUAUUUUUCAUUGUGCAUGCAUCAUAUAAUUUGUGUAUGUAUAUGUAUUUGUGUUUCAUUUAUUGCAAAAACAAUUCAGGAAAAAUUAAAUUAAUCACAAUUAAUAAGAUUCAAAGAUUAAAGUUAUAUUCAAAACAAUUUGCAAAAAAAAAAUGAAAUCAGGAGAUUUCAAACUUAACAAGGGGGUAAUGUUAUGAAAGGAUUUAGGACACUUUUAGAAAUAAUUAGAAAUUGAAAUAAAAUAGAUCUUAUUUAAACAAAAAUAUAGGUUUAUAGGAGAUAAAGAUAGUUCCAAGUAAAAGAUUAAUAUAAAGGUCAAAUGAUUCAUUGAUAUAGGAAAAUAAAGUAAGAAGAAAACACAUAAGAAGCUAGCGAAUAACAAGCAUUAUCUUAGAUGCAUGACAAGCAAAAUAGUACAAGUCAAGAACCUCAUUAGUUAUUUGGCACGCUUGUUUAGAAGGUUGCUAGGUCGACGGACAUAUGUAUGUCGAAUUGAUAUUACAUCCAAGGUUAUAACCAUAUUCACAGAAUGUGUAGAUACUACAGCAUCAUGAAUAUUCAGUAAUACAUUUAGGCACACAAGAUUGUAUUAAUAACCAAUCAAAAAGUUUAAGAUACGAAGAUUGACGUACACAAGAUAUUAAUUAAAAUUUAACAAAUCUUUAAUUAUCAAUUAUAAUAAAGAUCAGAAAUUGAAAUUCUUACAAAAAUAUUAUUUUAUUUAAUUUAAGAAAUAAAAGUCCAAAUGCUUUUCAAAAACAAAUAAAUACAUUUUGCAUAUUAUGAAGCAAUAAAUGUUUUGGCAACACAUUCCAUCUUUUACAAAAGACGCUCAAUCUUGUCUGGGGAACAGGAAUGUCGGGUAAUGAGUAGUGACUAUAAAAGCAAAUAUAAGUCUACUGCCCGUACAUUACAUUACAAUCCUUGUUCCAACCAGCAAAUUGAGUUGUCUUAUUUAUUUCAUUAAAAAGGUAAGCUAUAUAAUGUUAAUUAAAGUAAUUUAAUAAAAUAAAUUAAUUGAAAUUAAUAGGAAAUAAUUCAAUAAAUAUAAUAAGUUUAAUUCGAGCAAUAUUUGAAAUAGAAAUAUAUUUUUUAUUGUCAAUUGAUAAUGUUAUCUGUUAUUAAUCUGUAUGAUUUAUGCAUUGUAAUAUUUUACGAUCAAAAAGAAAAGAAACAUGACAUUACAUUACAUUACAAUCCUUGUUCCAACCAGCAAAUUGAGUUGUCUUAUUUAUUUCAUUAAAAAGGGUAAGAAGGCGCGAGUCCCACCCUCGCUGCCAAGCCAGUCCACAACAACGACAUGUAGUCCCCAGAUGUCCAGACAUCAUUCUACCUACAAGAAUCGUAGAAGAACUGAGCAAACGAGAGGAGGCAAAUCAACACCAUGUUGUUCAAUUUAGAAACCACCGAAGACAACCGUAAUAACAACAUUAACAAGUGACCUCCCUGGGAAGUUAACAUUACAACAACUAAAACAACAUAAAAUCCCCGUCACAACAGUCGACGAAGAACUUCCUUUCACAACUGAUGUCCCAAAAAUACCAUCACAACAAUAAUGUUAUGAAAGGAUUUAGGACACUUUUAGAAAUAAUUAGAAAUUGAAAUAAAAUAGAUCUUAUUUAAACAAAAAUAUAGGUUUAUAGGUAAUUAAGAUAGUUCCAAGUAAAAGAUUAUAUAAAGUCAAAUGAUUCAUUGAUAUAGGAAAAUAAAGUAAGAAGAAAACACAUAAAGAAGCUAGCGAAUAACAAGCAUUAUCUUAGAUGCAUGACAAGCAAAAUAGUACAAGUCAAGAACCUCAUUAGUUAUUUGGCACUUGUUUAGAAGGUUGCUAGGUCGACGGACAUAUGUAUGUUGAAUUGAUAUUACAUCCAAGGUUAUAACCAUAUUCACAGAAUGUGUAGAUACUACAGCAUCAUGAAUAUUCAGUAAAUACAUUUAGGCACACAAGAUUGUAUUAAUAACCAAUCAAAAGUUUAGAUACGAAGAUUGACGUACACAAGAUAUUAAUUAAAAUUUAACAAAUCUUUAAUUAUCAAUUAUAAUAAAGAUCAGAAAUUGAAAUUCUUACAAAAAAUAUUAUUUUAUUUAAUUUAAGAAAUAAAAGUCCAAAUGCUUUCAAAAACAAAUAAAUACAUUUUGCAUAUUAUGAAGCAAUAAAUGUUUUGGCAACACAUUCCAUCUUUUACAAAGACGCUCAAUCUUGUCUGGGGAACAGGAAUGUCGGGUAAUGAGUAGUGACUAUAAAAGCAAAUAUAAAGUCUACUGCCCGUACAUUACAUUACAAUCCUUGUUCCAACCAGCAAAUUGAGUUGUCUUAUUUAUUUCAUUAAAAAGGUAAGCUAUAUAAUGUUAAUUAAAGUAAUUUAAUAAAAUAAAUUAAUUGAAAAUUAAUAGGAAUAUAAUUCAAUAAAUAUAAUAAGUUUAAUUCGAGCAAUAUUUGAAAUAGAAAUAUAUUUGUUAUUGUCAAUUGAUAAUGUUAUCUGUUAUUAAUCUGUAUGAUUUAUGCACUGUAAUAUUUUACGAUCAAAAAGAAAAGAAACAUUACAUUACAUUACAAUCCUUGUUCCAACAAGCAAAUUGAGUUGUCUUAUUUAUUUCAUUAAAAAGGGUAAGAAGGCGCGAGUCCCACCCUCGCUGCCAAGCCAGUCCACAACAACGACAUGUAGUCCCCAGAUGUCCAGACAUCAUUCUACCUACAAGAACCGUAGAAGAACUGAGCAAACGAAAGGAAGCAAAUCAACACCAUGUUGUUCAAUUUAGAAACCACCGAAGACAACCAUAAUACCAUCUUAACAAGUGACCUCCCAAGUUAACAUUACAACAAAAAAAACAUAAAAUCCCCGUCACAACAGUCGACGAAGAA
rnacentral:lncRNA from 1 species